rnacentral:lncRNA from 13 species
UGUUAUGAGGUAUCUUCCCCACUGAGCUCCUCUGGUCCCUGUGAAACUAUCAUUAGAGUUUUAUUCAAUUGACUAACACAGUGUUGUCUUAGGAGGGGCAACAAACCUAUGGCACCAGACAUGAUUACUUUAAUAUAAAUUUAUUUCUCUAUUCCCUGGCAGAAGUUCCAAUCUCAGCAACCCUUAUGGCAUCCUGAAUAAACACAGAAUACUACAAUUCUGAUCAAUGAGCGUUUCAGGGGAAAGAUCUUCCACUGGCUGUGUGAAAAGGAGAGGAGCCCAGGUGGAGGGAAGAAGGAGCUACGCAACCAGCCUCCAACAUGCAUCUGGGUUUCACUCAUCCUCGGUGGCCCCAUUAUGAGUUCCAGCUACGAUCAGGGAUGACACACCCACAUUGACCAUGUCCAGCCUCUGAGUCUGACCCUGAUGGACUCCUCACUAUUUGGAGUUUCUUGCUCAAGUAGUGCUGUUGAGAAAAUACGUGCGAUGAGCCAAGAAGCCACCUCUUGAGUUCACGAGUCAACACGAGCACUGGCCCAGAAGCCAGGCAGAGACAGCUUCAGGAGGUGACCAAACUUAUGAAUUUGGUAGCUGAUGAGAGAUGAGGAUGAAGAUACAGAGCUCAAGAAAGGUGAACCUCACAUUUAAAAUGUCUUCUAACCAGCUGGGCAAGGAAAAUGCAAACUGGAACCAAAAGAAAGCAAAGCCCUGGCUUCCGUUCCUGUUCCUCAUUUCUCAUUCCGCAACAUUCACGGAGCGUCUACUGCAUGCAAGGCCUGAUUUAGAAAUGAAUGAGAUUGAAAUCUAUAUUCCCCGUUUCUUCACAUCUUAGAGACAAGAUGUGUACUUAAUUUAAGACGCAGAAAAUUGAGGUUCAUUAAAUGCAUCACUCCAUUCGGAAAAGAAAUUACAUUCAAACAGUGUGAAGGGCAUUAGGGGCUUCACAAAAAUGGAAUAGAAAGGUAACUGUUAAGUUGUCCCACAAAGAAAGCUCAGGUUUGAAAUUUGAAGGUUUGUGAAUGAGCAAAUAAUAGAUCUUAGUACAGGCAGUAAAGCAAGUCUGCAGAGGACAUGUGUUGAGAUAUGUGUAAGGUGGGGUUAUGUAGAAGGGAUGGGAGAGGGAAGGGACAUACUGGAAGCAAUUAGAAAGCUCAGCUGGACUGAUGACUGCAUGCGUAUGACUGCAUUAGUUCAUUUUCACAGUGCUAUAAAGAACUACCUGAGAUCAGGUAAUUUAUGAAGAAGAAAGGUUUUAUUGACUCCCCAUUCUGCAUGGCUGGGAGGCCUCAGGAAACUUACGAUCACGGUGGAAGAUGAAGGGGAAACAAGGACCUUCUUCACAUGGUGGCAGGAGAGAGAGAGAGGGAGAAAGUGUCAAACACUUCUACACCAUCAGCACUUGUGAGAACUCCCUCCCUAUCACAAAAACUGCCCCUAUGAUCCAGUCACCCCCGCCAGCUCCCUCCCUCGAAGCAUGAGGAUUAUAAUUCAAGUUGAGAUUUGGGUGAAGACAUAGAGUGAAACCAUAUCAAUGACUCUGUGGGGGGACCGCAAACCAAGAAAGUUUAUAAACAGAAGAGUGCCAGAAACAGUGGUGUCUUUAUAAAAAGAAAGAGAGAGGAGCCAGGGCAUGCAUAUUAGGAGGAUCCUGCCCUUCCCAGCACUGGCACAGGCAUUUCUCCUACGAAGAGAAUUCUGCAGCAAACAGCCAGCCUUGGAGACAAGAAAUUACACUUUCAAAGUCAUGUAAAUGGUCAUCGAGAAAGUUGGCAUUGGGAUUUAGCUCUUUCUUGAAUCAAUGCUUUCUUUCUGACACUAUACAAUGAAUUGUACAGAGUAAUCUCACACUAUUUAAAAUGGUGACAGUAAAUAUGAUUCUAAUAUGCGUCCAAGAGAACCAUAAUACAGAGGUGGAAGAUAUGGCUGUAAGACAUUUAAUAAAUAUUGUUUACACAAAAUAGUGGCA